GCCAGGAAUCAAGAUGGCCGCCUGGGACCGCUCUCAGCCCCUUCGGCCUCUACCUGAAGAGCCACGCCCCGUCUGCUACACCCAACUGAUUGGUUCCUCAAUCACAGAGAGGAAAGGCAACAUGAGGAUGACGUCAGUUACAAAUAUGGCGUUUUGGACGGGCUCGAUAGUUUGCUUGGCCUCUACUCAAGGAAUGCUGAUGGUAUAGCAAGAAGGUAUUCUGAGCAUUAUAUCAAUGGGGAAGUUCUAGAUCUUUUGCAAAGCAGGAGGUAAGCUCACAAACCACAGGUAAUGACACACUCUGGAAUCAAAAAUGUCCAUAAUGAAGAGGAACAUUGGCCUAUUACAGAAAUCUGAGUGAGAAGCAAAUGAAGGUCAUCUUAGCAAUUCAGUGAUUGCCCACUUCCAACUUCCUGUUCCCAAAGAGGCUGAUAGACUCUGGAAUGGGUCAGGACACUUGGGAUGCAGUGC
rnacentral:lncRNA from 1 species